rnacentral:rRNA from 1 species
AUGGCCUCGCAGCCCGACCUCCUGUCCCGCGCCCAGAGCACCAUCCUCUUCGUCGCCUCCCCGCAAUGGCACCCUGCAGCAGAGCACCACGGUGACCAUCACCUGCGCCUCCCCGAGCAGGAACUCCUCCUUCCCUGCACCCGUGCUUCGCUGACCGGAGGCGUCGUCCUCGACCGUCGCCAGCACCACUGCCCCGCUUGCGUCCUCGACCUCCUCCCUCCACGCCCUAUCAAGUUUCGGGAGCCGCCGCUGUUUUGCUUUUGCUGCAGCAUCUCCGGCCGUCUGCAGGCGACCACGCCCGGUGUCUGCGAUGCCUGCUGUUGCCGCUGUUUUCUUUCCCUUUCAACGAACGAGCAGCGCCUUCAGGGGUUUUCGCCAAGUUCUUUUCCAUAG